rnacentral:tRNA from 1 species
GCCAUGUAUAUUUCAUCGUGUUUGUGAAAUAAAGGACUUAAAUGAGACUCUUAAUCUCAGGGUCGUGGGUUCGAGCCCCACGUUGGGCG